CUUGAAAAUAAGUUAAUAAUUGUAUCUCAAAAUUUAUAGAAAAAUAAAGUAUAUUAGUUGUGAAAUAAUAUUAUCUAUUUUUUUAUUGGGAAUAUUAAAGUUCUACAUAAAACUGGGGUUAGUAGCCCAUUAUGAUUAAAUUAAAUUUUUUAAGGUAUUAAAAGAUUAAUCUCUAAACCUAAAUAACAUGGCAGUAUUUUACCCCUUGCAGAGGAACUUGAAUAUUAAUUAGAUACUCCUCUUUUAUUCUCACUUAAUUUUAUUUUGUGUGUGGUUGUUAAAAUAAAUAUUAAAUUAUAAGUUUUAAAUCAGAUGACAUGCAUAGAUAAUUAAGGUAAUUUUAGUUACAAUUGACAAGUUUAUUAAAGUUUAAAUAUAGGAUUUGCAAGUAUCAAAAAAAAGAAAUUGAGAAGAGGUUUUAAAAUGUGUACAUAUUGUCCGUCACUCUCAGAAAU
rnacentral:rRNA from 1 species